rnacentral:rRNA from 1 species
GACGAACGCUGGCGGCAAGCUUAACACAUGCAAGUCGAACGCCGUAGCAAUACGGAGUGGCAGACGGGUGAGUAACACGUGGGAACGUGCCUUUUGGUUCGGAACAACUGAGGGAAACUUCAGCAAAAACCGGAUACGCCCUUCGGGGGAAAGUUUACGCCGAAAGAUCUGCCCGCGUCAGAUUAGGUAGUUAGCGGGGUAAUGGCCCACCAAGCCGAAGAUCUGUUGCUGUUCUGAGAGGAAGAUCAGCCACACUGGGACUGAGAAACGGCCCAGACUCCUACGGGAGGCAGCAGUGGGGAAUAUUGGACAAUGGGCGCAAGCCUGAUCCAGCUAUGCCGCGUGGAUGAAGAAGGCCUUCGGGUUGUAAAGUCCUUUCGGCUGUGAAGAUAAUGAUGGUACCCGCAGAAGAAGCCCCGGCUAAUUUCGUGCCAGCAGCCGCAGUAAAAC